rnacentral:lncRNA from 1 species
AUCCCAUUCCAGGAUGUAAGGGGGAGGGACCCCUGGGUAAACUGGAGGAUACAGUUCCCUGGCCACAACACUUUAAAAACAACAAAAGUGAGAAGUAGAUCCUACAGACACUGCCCCCUGGAAUUUGGAUUUGGACAAUUUGGCAACUGUGAUUGGCCCCUGUUAAGAGGGAAAAGGAUAAGAAGUCACCAUCAAAAGCAAGUCCUUGACUACUCCAGGGUGGAUUGUCUUUGAGAAGAUAGUCUGAAGAGAUUGUCUUCUGGAGAUAUUCUUAGAUAGUCUUCAAGGUAGCUUUGCUGGAGACUACAACUUGGACUGUGAGCUCAGAUCUUGGCUUCUACUUGGACUCUGAUUUUUGGAUUACUUUGCUGGGUGAGUAAAAGGCUGACCCCUUUCCUAGCUUCUGGAAAGACAAGCUUCCAUCUUGGAGGAGGCCACAUGGCUACUCACUACCAACCUUCCUGGUUGAGAGCUAAUUAAUCUCUGCCUAGAUUAAGCAGACUCAGAUUGAAACAUUUAGGUUGAUAGGAUAGAUAACU